UACAGAGGGUGCGAGCGUUAAUCGGAAUUACUGGGCGUAAAGCGCGCGUAGGCGGACCUGCAAGUCGGGGGUGAAAGCCCGAGGCCCAACCUCGGAACUGCCUUCGAUACUGCGGGUCUCGAGUCCGGGAGAGGUGAGUGGAAUUCCUAGUGUAGAGGUGAAAUUCGUAGAUAUUAGGAAGAACACCAGUGGCGAAGGCGGCUCACUGGCCCGGUACUGACGCUGAGGCGCGAAAGCGUGGGGAGCAAACAGG
rnacentral:rRNA from 1 species